CAUGUAAAUCUUUGUCUACGGGAGAAAGCUCAAAAUAAACAAAAGAGAGAGCAGCUGGAACACUUGUGGAAGGACAUGGGCAGCGUGUGUGUGCAGGGCAGCACACUGGCAGGACCUGGGUGAAAAGGACAUUCUCUGAGGUGCUGGGAGAAGGAGGACUCGUGCGGGCACCUCCAGAGACAGCGGGAACGGGAGCGUGCUGCGGAGAAGGAAAAUUCCAGGGGAAUUGCCACGAGAGGAAAUACUUCAGAGGGGCUUCCCUCCAGCUAAGCCCUGAAUAUGCCAGGAGGUUUCAGCCGGGAGGAAAGGAGCUGUGGAAGAAAAGCAGCCUAAAAAUAGCCAGCGGGGAUCAUCAGGUUUUCCAGCCAAGAAGAACAAGGAGAGAGAUGAGGGAAUCGGGUUCCAAUUCCUAAUGAUUUGGUGGGUGCAGGAAUGAUUUUUGUGUGUUUUCCAGUCCCUUUUGAUUCCUGAGAUGAUUUUAAAAUGAUGGCUUUAGCAAUCAACUAAAUCGGAGAUGUUGUUUUUGAGAGGAAAUGAUGCCAAAUAAAUGCAGAGUUUUGGGUCA